UGUUAGCGGCGGACGGGUGAGUAACACGUGGGUAACCUGCCUGUAAGACUGGGAUAACUCCGGGAAACCGGGGCUAAUACCGGAUGCUUGUUUGAACCGCAUGGUUCAAACAUAAAAGGUGGCUUCGGCUACCACUUACAGAUGGACCCGCGGCGCAUUAGCUAGUUGGUGAGGUAAUGGCUCACCAAGGCAACGAUGCGUAGCCGACCUGAGAGGGUGAUCGGCCACACUGGGACUGAGACACGGCCCAGACUCCUACGGGAGGCAGCAGUAGGGAAUCUUCCGCAAUGGACGAAAGUCUGACGGAGCAACGCCGCGUGAGUGAUGAAGGUUUUCGGAUCGUAAAGCUCUGUUGUUAGGGAAGAACAAGUGCCGUUCAAAUAGGGCGGCACCUUGACGGUACCUAACCAGAAAGCCACGGCUAACUACGUGCCAGCAGCCGCGGUAAUACGUAGGUGGCAAGCGUUGUCCGGAAUUAUUGGGCGUAAAGGGCUCGCAGGCGGUUUCUUAAGUCUGAUGUGAAAGCCCCCGGCUCAACCGGGGAGGGUCAUUGGAAACUGGGGAACUUGAGUGCAGAAGAGGAGAGUGGAAUUCCACGUGUAGCGGUGAAAUGCGUAGAGAUGUGGAGGAACACCAGUGGCGAAGGCGACUCUCUGGUCUGUAACUGACGCUGAGGAGCGAAAGCGUGGGGAGCGAACAGGA
rnacentral:rRNA from 1 species